AAUCGAUGAGACAAUAACAACACGAUUCAGACAACAGACGAAGCUUAAUCAAUCUGACAAUGAAAUUCUCAAGUUUUAUCACUCAAUAAAAAAUCAAACAUUACAGAGCCAAAAUCCAAAAUUUGCAACUCUAAUGCCCAAAUAAAUACACAAUUUCGAAUGCAAAAUUGUUCACAAGCACCUAGAGCAGUUCAGGUUACCAUUACUAAGACGAAAUUCAUAUGAAUUCGCAAUAAACAAAGGCAUGCAAAGUAGAGAAAAUUUUAAGAAUCGAUAAAGAAAACAGAUCUAGGGUAACGAAUUCUAAAAUCACACAAACAUCGGUUAUUGAGUCUCAGAGAUUGAUGGAAACAGAUCUAGGGUAACGAAUUGAGUGGCAAAGGAGAAAAAAACAACAUAGAAAAUGACUUGCCUUCGAUUCGAUCUCGAAGUGGACAGAUAUAGAGCGGAUUGAGUGCCGGCGGAGGUUCCAGUUGCACGGAGAGCUUUCACGGCGGCGACGGAGAGGCAACGGAGGGUUUAAUCGGUGGCCGGAAUAGUGAGUUCGUCGGACAGACGGCUGAGGACUGAGAGAGUUUUCUUUCUUAGGGUUUUCGAAAAGUUGCUUUGUGUUUGGUUUUUUUUCUCGAAAAUGACUAAGUGUUAUUUGGCGGAAUAAGUAUUUUGUGUUCCCGCUCAUUAAAACUUUAUAUCAGCGUUUAUAAAGUGCUGUAAUAUUAAAACUAUAUUUUAGCGUUUAUCAACUGCUGUAAUAUAAUAACGAAAAUUACAUGACAUCUUCAAUAGCAAUUGAGUAAUCCGUGCUAUAAUGGUAUGCUAUCAAUGAAGACUUUUUUUGUAGUGAACUACUCUAGCCCAAACAUGCUUAACUGUAGAGUUUUCUCAAGACGUUUGACCGAAAAGAUAAGUGCAAUUCGGUGACAUAGAUGGCCAAAUCAAUUCUUAAACCUCUCUGCAUGCACUAUCAUAUUCUUGAAACUGGGGUGUUACAAUCCACCCCCAUUAAGACCAUUACCAAUGGUCAUCUCUAUAUUUUUCUCUAUUUUAGAGGUGACUCUAUUCUAGAGGCAUUGUACUCCAAUGGUCACAUCUAAAAUAAAGUUUUUUCAAAAGUAGAGAAAAAAAUAGAGAUGAAUAAUAGAUUACUCUAUUUCUAAAGAUAAAGAAUAAACAUCCAGGAGUUUGGUGAAUUAGACCAUCACCUACUUUAUUGGCAAACAAUGGCUAAUACUGAAUAGCUCACUUUAUUUCCAGAAUCAGAGACAGAUUUCCAGGAGUUUGGUGAAUUAGACCAUCGCCCUCUUGUGACAAACAUCUCAACCUAUAAGGAAGAGAGACAUGGUUUCUUCAGCUAUGACAAUCGCCUCACUCAUAAAGAGGGUUUCAAAGACAUUGUGCUUAACAACUGGAACAGAUACAAUGGGGUCGAUGAUAAUCAUGUUCCCUUAAUGGAGAAGCUCACUCAUUGUAGAAAGGUUAUCUCAACAUGGAAGCAACAAAAUAAGAUCAAUGCAGCAAAGUGAAUCAAAAUCAUUCAGCAUAAGCUGGAUAGAGCGAUUGCAACUGGUGGCUCUACUUUGAUAGAGGAAGACAUAUGAAAACUGAUCUUAAUCAAGCCUAUAUAGA
rnacentral:sRNA from 1 species